rnacentral:rRNA from 1 species
CCUACGGGGGGCAGCAGUGGGGGAUAUUGCACAAUGGGGGAAACCCUGAUGCAGCGACGCCGCGUGGGCGAAGAAGUAUUUCGGUAUGUAAAGCCCUAUCAGCAGGGAAGAAGAAAUGACGGUAGCUGAGUAAGAAGCACCGGCUAAAUACGUGCCAUCAGCCGCGGUAAUACGGAUGGUGCAAGCGUUAUACGGAUUUACUGGGUGUAAAGGGAGGGCAGGCUGCACGGCAAGCCUGAUGUGAAAGCCCGCGGCCCAACCGCGGGACUGCAUUGGGAACUACCGGGCUGGAGUGACAGAGAGGUAGGCGGAAUUCCUAGUGUAGCGGUGAAAUGCGUAGAUAUUAGGAGGAACACCAGUGGCGAAGGCAGCCUACUGGACGGUGACUGACGCUGAGGCUCGAAAGCGUGGGGAGCAAACAGGAUUAGAUACCCUUGUAGUC